UGGAUACCUGCAAGCAUGUUCACAAACAAGUAAAUAAGUAAAAAAGGUCCCCUCAGCAGAGCCUAGAGUAAAGGGGCCAGGCCUCCUCCCUAUGGGAGAGAGAGGUGUUUGAAGAAGGGGCCUCCCCCGGGCCGGCCUGGCUUCACAUUA